UCUGACAUUAGGGUCCUUGAAGGCAUGGCUGUUGUGUCCCAUGUGUUUAAAUAGGUGACAGAGAGAAGAGAUACUAUGUCUAUGCUCAGUGUUCUGACCUAUGAAUAUCUGAAUAGUUAGUAGCCCAACUAA
ensembl:snoRNA Gm25429 predicted gene, 25429